CCCCUAGAUGUUCUGGGCCGCACGCGCGCUACACUGAACAGUUCAACAAGUCUUAACCUUGGCCGAUAGGUCUGGGUAAUCUUUGAACGCUGUUCGUGAUUGGGAUAGACCUUUGCAAUUAUGGGUCUUCAACGAGGAAUUCCUAGUAAACGCAAGUCAUCAGCUUGCAUUGAUUACGUCCCUGCCCUUUGUACACACCGCCCGUCGCACCUACCGAUUGAAUGGUCCGGUGAAGCCUCCGGAUUGGCGUGCACCCUCGGGUGCUGCCGAGAAGUUGGCUAAACCUUACCAUUUAGAGGAAGGUGAANUCGUAACA
rnacentral:rRNA from 1 species